rnacentral:rRNA from 1 species
UACGGAGGGUGCAAGCGUUAUCCGGAUUCACUGGGUUUAAAGGGUGCGUAGGUGGGUCUGUAAGUCAGUGGUGAAAUAUCCAAGCUUAACUUGGAACUGCCGUUGAUACUAUAGACCUUGAAUGCUGUGGAGGUGAGCGGAAUAUGUCAUGUAGCGGUGAAAUGACUUAGAUAUGACAUAGAACACCAAUUGCGAAAGGCAGCUCACUACCCAGAUAUUGACACUGAGGCACGAAAGCGUGGGGAUCAAACAGG